AGGAGGAACAGCCCCAGUGGCGGGGCCAGCCCUGGAGCCCUGGAUUCAGCCCCCGCAGGAACUCCGGAGCUCUCCGUCUGCAGGGCCUGGAGGCUCCGGGGCGGG
rnacentral:pre_miRNA from 1 species